rnacentral:rRNA from 1 species
GACGAACGCUGGCGGCGUGCUUAACACAUGCAAGUCGAACGGAAAGGCCCUGCUUUUGUGGGGUGCUCGAGUGGCGAACGGGUGAGUAACACGUGAGUAACCUGCCCUUGACUUUGGGAUAACUUCAGGAAACUGGGGCUAAUACCGGAUAGGAGCUCCUGCUGCAUGGUGGGGGUUGGAAAGUUUCGGCGGUUGGGGAUGGACUCGCGGCUUAUCAGCUUGUUGGUGGGGUAGUGGCUUACCAAGGCUUUGACGGGUAGCCGGCCUGAGAGGGUGACCGGCCACAUUGGGCCUGCGAUACGGCCCAGACUCCUACGGGAGGCAGCAGUGGGAAAUAUUGCACAAUGGGCGGAAGCCUGAUGCAGCAACGCCGCGUGCGGGAUGACGGCCUUCGGGUUGUAAACCGCUUCCGCCUGUGACGAAGCGUGAGUGACGGUAAUGGGUAAAGAAGCACCGGCUAACUACGUG